CUAUAUUUUCAAUCGGGGCAGCACCGACCAGCUCCGGAAUUCCUCAGGGCGGAGUACCAGCAAUGUCCCAAACAGUUCCCCAACAUUGAUAUCGAUAACUAUCACCGUCUGACGAAAAACACACAUCUCUAACAGCAAAAAGAUAUUCUUACCACAGCGCGUCCACUGUUUCAUUGGUGCCCCGAGGGACGCCUGGGAGGCACAUACCAUGAUCAACUGCCGAAAUCAACUCCCGGAGGUCUACGGCCGCUCCAUCUUCCUCACAGGAAAAACUCACUUACACAUUUCGGCCUUCAAGACCAAAACUUGGCUGUCUUCAAUUUUACGCAGUCAAAGCUGAGAAUACGUUUCCCACUGGAAAAGGCUACAGCUGCCGCGGAAAAAUAUGCUUCACCAUUAAUUUAUUGGUAGAGCUCGCAUAAAAACACGGCGCACAACAAGGGACACACGCCAUGCUCUCGUGUCGGGUCACCUAAUCCUGAGAAGCUCCUGGGGAAAAGACGGGACGGGCCAAAUGGCAAACGACGAGGACAACUAAGGCUCUCGGGUUUGAUUCCAGAUAAAUUUACAAUUAAAAAAGGAAGUAUAUAUAGAAAUGAAUGUAAACAUGUAAUUUACAAUCCGUAGUUUCAGUCACUUCUGGGACAGGGCGAUUAUAGCCCGGGCCGAGGACUUCUCGCCAGAGGCCAGCGGCAAAUAAGGUCCACGAAAAGCAGCGCACUAAGGUGAGCUGCUGGACGGCCAGUCCAAAGUUCGGACGCCCGACUCAAAGCAGCGGGCCUCUCACCGCCGGGCGAUUUGGGGGGCUGUUGUUCCCCAAAGUGAGUUGGGCGUAAUAGCCCGGAACGAACUUACCGGGGAAUGUUGAAUGUCGGUGGCGGCGACUAGGAAAGGCAAUUUUAGCUUGUCCAAGGACUUCUAAGCGGGCCGAACGGACACCGGUUGCAGACAGCCAAAUCGUGGCUGGAAGGAAAGCCGAAACUACGUCGCAUACGUCGUAAAGCUGCCGAACGAAUAACCCGGGGCCCUUUGUGUUGGGACCUCGGUUGCCCUACAGAUAAUUAUUCAUCACACUAAGCUACCACCAUUAACCAUUAAAUGUUCUACCACUCAUUUUAAUUUAGUUUUAGGCACUGCAUCUGUCUGCUUGGCAAUAAGGCUGUGGCUGACUUAAAUAUCUUCGCUAUUUUCUUAGCCUGGCGUAUCAAAAGUGGAUCAUUGGACGAUAGAGUCCUAUUUAAGAGAAUUCCCAAGAGCGACCCGGGAUUCACUUAAAUAGCUGGAUUGCACGAUGGCCAACAGUAC